UGAGCAACCUACCCUUGACACUGGAAUAACAGCUGGAAACAGCUGCUAAUACCGGAUACGACCUUCGAUGGCAUCAUCUGGAGGUGGAAAGCUCCGACGGUCAAGGAUGGGCUCGCGGCCUAUUAGCUUGUUGGUGAGGUAACGGCUCACCAAAGCUUCGACGGGUAGCCGGCCUGAGAGGGCGACCGGCCACACUGGGACUGAGAUACGGCCCAGACUCCUACGGGAGCAG
rnacentral:rRNA from 1 species